UACCCGUUAUCUUCGGAACAACUCCGGGAAACUGGUAGCUAAUACCGAGUGUGCCCUUCGGGGGAAAGAUUUAUCGGAUAAGGAUUGGCCCGCGUUAGAUUAACUAGAUGGGGGGGUAAAGGCCUACCAAGGCUACCAUCCAUAUGUGGUCUGACAGGAUGAUCCACCACUUUGGGACUGAGACACGGCCCACACUCCUGCGGGAGGCGACUUGGGGGAAUAUUGGACUAUGGGCGCAAUCCUGAUCCACCCAUGCCUCAUGAGGGAUGAACGCCUUAUGGUUGCAAAGGUCUUUCGCCGGACAAGAUAAUGACCGUAUCCCGACAACAAGCCCCGGCUAACUUCGAGCCACCAGCCGCGGCAAUACCAAGGGGGCUAACGGUGUUCGGAAUUACUGGGCGUAAAGCGCACGUAUGCGGACAUUUAAAUGAUGGGUGAAAUCCCGGGGCUCAACCUCGGAACUGCCUUUGAUACUGGGUGCCUUGACUGUGGAAUAGGUCAUUGGAAUUGCGAGUGUACACGUGAAAUUCAUAGAUAUUCGCAUGAACUCCACCGGCGAAGGCGGCUGACUGGACCACUACUGACGCUGAGGUGCGAAAGCGUGCGGAGCGAACAUGAUUACAUACCCUGGUAGUCCACUNUCGUACACGAUGAAUGUUAGCCGACCGCAACUUUACUUGUCGGUGGUGCAGCUAUCGCAUUAUACAUUCNNCCUGGCGANUACGGUCGCAAUGAUACUAACUCACAUNAUUGACGGAGGCCCGCACAAGCAGGGGAGCAUGAGGUUAAUUCCAGGCAUCUCGCACAGNCUUACAUGCCCUUGACAUGCCGGUUCGCCACAGAGAUGUCGUUUACCUUCGGNACUGGACACAGUGCUGCANGGUGNCGACAUCAUCCUGNGCU
rnacentral:rRNA from 1 species